ensembl:ribozyme RNaseP_nuc Nuclear RNase P
GGCAGAGGAAGCUCAUCAGUGGGGCCACGUGCUGAGUGCCCGUCACUCCCUGGCCCCUGGGAAGGUCUGAGACUGGGGCCCCCCGCGGCCCUAACCGGGCCCUCCCCGACUCGGGGGAGGUGAGUUCCCAGAGAGCAGGACUCCACGCGUGGGCAGACUGGGCAGGAGAGGCCCCGAGUGGGCGGAUGCCUCCCUCGCCGGAGCUUGGAACAGACUCACGGCCAGCCAAGAGCGAGUACAAUGAGGGAGACAAAGCACCCACCAAAUAUCUUGUGCCAUCAUGUAGAACCUCCACUGUC